rnacentral:rRNA from 1 species
UGACUGCGUACCUUUUGUAUAAUGGGUCAGCGACUUAUAUUCUGUAGCAAGGUUAACCGAAUAGGGGAGCCGAAGGGAAACCGAGUCUUAACUGGGCGUUAAGUUGCAGGGUAUAGACCCGAAACCCGGUGAUCUAGCCAUGGGCAGGUUGAAGGUUGGGUAACACUAACUGGAGGACCGAACCGACUAAUGUUGAAAAAUUAGCGGAUGACUUGUGGCUGGGGGUGAAAGGCCAAUCAAACCGGGAGAUAGCUGGUUCUCCCCGAAAGCUAUUUAGGUAGCGCCUCGUGAAUUCAUCUCCGGGGGUAGAGCACUGUUUCGGCAAGGGGGUCAUCCCGACUUACCAACCCGAUGCAAACUGCGAAUACCGGAGAAUGUUAUCACGGGAGACACACGGCGGGUGCUAACGUCCGUCGUGAAGAGGGAAACAACCCAGACCGCCAGCUAAGGUCCCAAAGUCAUGGUUAAGUGGGAAACGAUGUGGGAAGGCCCAGACAGCCAGGAUGUUGGCUUAGAAGCAGCCAUCAUUUAAAGAAAGCGUAAUAGCUCACUGGUCGAGUCGGCCUGCGCGGAAGAUGUAACGGGGCUAAACCAUGCACCGAAGCUGCGGCAGCGACACUGUGUGUUGUUGGGUAGGGGAGCGUUCUGUAAGCCUGUGAAGGUGUGCUGUGAGGCAUGCUGGAGGUAUCAGAAGUGCGAAUGCUGACAUAAGUAACGAUAAAGCGGGUGAAAAGCCCGCUCGCCGGAAGACCAAGGGUUCCUGUCCAACGUUAAUCGGGGCAGGGUGAGUCGACCCCUAAGGCGAGGCCGAAAGGCGUAGUCGAUGGGAAACAGGUUAAUAUUCCUGUACUUGGUGUUACUGCGAAGGGGGGACGGAGAAGGCUAUGUUGGCCGGGCGACGGUUGUCCCGGUUUAAGCGUGUAGGCUGGUUUUCCAGGCAAAUCCGGAAAAUCAAGGCUGAGGCGUGAUGACGAGGCACUACGGUGCUGAAGCAACAAAUGCCCUGCUUCCAGGAAAAGCCUCUAAGCAUCAGGUAACAUCAAAUCGUACCCCAAACCGACACAGGUGGUCAGGUAGAGAAUACCAAGGCGCUUGAGAGAACUCGGGUGAAGGAACUAGGCAAAAUGGUGCCGUAACUUCGGGAGAAGGCACGCUGAUAUGUAGGUGAAGUCCCUCGCGGAUGGAGCUGAAAUCAGUCGAAGAUACCAGCUGGCUGCAACUGUUUAUUAAAAACACAGCACUGUGCAAACACGAAAGUGGACGUAUACGGUGUGACGCCUGCCCGGUGCCGGAAGGUUAAUUGAUGGGGUCAGCGCAAGCGAAGCUCUUGAUCGAAGCCCCGGUAAACGGCGGCCGUAACUAUAACGGUCCUAAGGUAGCGAAAUUCCUUGUCGGGUAAGUUCCGACCUGCACGAAUGGCGUAAUGAUGGCCAGGCUGUCUCCACCCGAGACUCAGUGAAAUUGAACUCGCUGUGAAGAUGCAGUGUACCCGCGGCAAGACGGAAAGACCCCGUGAACCUUUACUAUAGCUUGACACUGAACAUUGAGCCUUGAUGUGUAGGAUAGGUGGGAGGCUUUGAAGUGUGGACGCCAGUCUGCAUGGAGCCGACCUUGAAAUACCACCCUUUAAUGUUUGAUGUUCUAACGUGGACCCGUGAUCCGGGUUGCGGACAGUGUCUGGUGGGUAGUUUGACUGGGGCGGUCUCCUCCUAAAGAGUAACGGAGGAGCACGAAGGUUGGCUAAUCCUGGUCGGACAUCAGGAGGUUAGUGCAAUGGCAUAAGCCAGCUUGACUGCGAGCGUGACGGCGCGAGCAGGUGCGAAAGCAGGUCAUAGUGAUCCGGUGGUUCUGAAUGGAAGGGCCAUCGCUCAACGGAUAAAAGGUACUCCGG